AUUGAACGCUGGCGGCAUGCCUUACACAUGCAAGUCGAACGGCAGCACGGGAGCAGUCCUGGUGGCGAGUGGCGAACGGGUGAGUAAUAUAUCGGAACGUGCCCAGUCGUGGGGGAUAACGCAGCGAAAGCUGUGCUAAUACCGCAUACGAUCUAAGGAUGAAAGCGGGGGAUCGCAAGACCUCGCGCGAUUCGAGCGGCCGAUAUCAGAUUAGCUAGUUGGUGGGGUAAAGGCCCACCAAGGCGACGAUCUGUAGCUGGUCUGAGAGGACGACCAGCCACACUGGAACUGAGACACGGUCCAGACUCCUACGGGAGGCAGCAGUGGGGAAUUUUGGACAAUGGGCGCAAGCCUGAUCCAGCAAUGCCGCGUGCAGGAUGAAGGCCUUCGGGUUGUAAACUGCUCUUGUACGGAACGAAACGGCCCUUUCUAAUCCAGGGGGCUAAUGACGGUACCGUAAGAAUAAGCACCGGCUAACUACGUGCCAGCCGCCGCAGUAAAAC
rnacentral:rRNA from 1 species